rnacentral:lncRNA from 1 species
ACCCAACAAAAUACUUCAGGGAAUAAUCCCACAUUUGAUGUCCUACCUUAGUGCAUUUUAUGAUUGCAUAUGACAGCUGAGAUACAGUUCCCAGCACAGAGACAGUUUUAGAGUUAUUAAAAUAAUUUUUUGAACGGUUGAUUAACAGCAUGAUGGUGUUUAAUAUUCUCAGGGUAGGAAAGAAUGCACUGAAUUAAGUUUAUGUGAGUCACAAUUCUUGUAGCAGUCAUAUUUACUACAGGUGGUAAUAUACUGAAGGAUAUUUUUUCAGGACCAUUGUAAAAUGUCUAUUUUAACAAGUUCCCACACCUGCUGCAGUGCAAUUCCUGUUAUCAAUAGUAGUGGGAUAAAACACUUGAUAAGGAACAGAUAUGAUUGAAAGAGGGAGUCAAAGAAGCAUUCAAACUUUUAAUGUAAGGAGACAAAUCAGUCAGCUCAGAACAAAAAGAGCAGAUGGGGAAAUGGUGAGGUACUUAAUCAGAUUCCCCUCUCAACAGUGUUGUAAUUUGUGACACAUCUCUAUAAGCAGGCUUCACUGAAGCAAGGUGACAACAUGGAGCAAAGAAUAAGUAAAGAUCAAGGACAAGAAUGAAUGUACCUGAGAAUUGGAUGUUCGACUAUGUAUGUUUCCACAUCUUGCAAAGAGAUGGAGACACUAGGAGCAGCAAUAGAAGCCCAAGCAGGAAGCUAGAAUGACAACAUCAUUAUUAUGAGUAUAUUGAUCGAUUAUGACCUGCUCUAUCACAGCAGACCAGAUUGCAUCCAAUCAGCUACUUCUGAAGAAAAAAUACCUUGUCACUGGAGUGUUGAAAAGAGUCAAAGAGCAAUUGGGUUAAACAUGUCAUUCUCUUGAUUGAAUCAAAUGCUAAUAGACUGACUGUGCCAUAUAUUCUUUUCUAUAACCUCUGACCUUUUUAGGUUAUCAUUGUGGGAAAAGAGAACUAGAAAGAUCUGUGUCUUCUGGGUAACAAGUACCUGGAGACAUACAUGCUAUUAUGUGUAUUAUCUACAUAGAAAGGUAAGAAAUAUUUCUUCUUGUUAUGCUUUGGCCAGGACACAGCUGUUAAGAUUUAUGAUGCUAAGAUUUAUGAUGGAGGUAUCGUGCAAGUUCAGAUGAUUAAAAAGUAACAUGAUGAGAUAGUUGUUCCAUAAUGCAUUAUUUUCUUAAAUAACCUCACUGUGUCAAGCUGUGAACAAAAGAUUGGUCCAAUCACCCUCCUUACAUUUGUAACUUUGUGAUCUAGCUGUCAGUUUCCAUGUAUGAAUCCUUUAUUCUGAGGUCCACUACAAUACUUAAGAGCUAAGUGAAAUUACAUAAUCACAAUUCUUCACAUUAUUGAUAAUUAAUGAGUUAUAUCGAGGUAGACUUUCUUGUCUGAAAAAACAUAUGAAAGGACCAUG